rnacentral:lncRNA from 1 species
CUCCCUUUCAAUUUUUAUAAAUUUCAGAUUUUAAGUUUUGGAUUUAUGGGGCUUUAUUCAUAAAAAAAGGGUGAUUUUUAACACUUAGGACAAUAACCCAAAAAGGCUUUGACCAAUGUCCAUGAAACUUUGGUGAAUUGUUUAUAUCUAUUGAUGUAAGCUCCCUUUCAAUUUUUAUAAAUUUCAGAUUUUAAGUUUUGGAUUUACGG